UUAGGAAUCUUCCGCAAUGGGCGAAAGCCUGACGGAGCGAUACCGCGUGGAGGAUGACACCCUUUCCGGGCGUAAACUCCUGUUCUGAGGGAACAAAUUUUUGAGGGUACCUCAGGAGAAAGCACCGGCUAAUUCCGUGCCAGCAGCCGCGGUAAGACGGAAGGUGCAAGCGUUACUCGGAAUCACUGGGCGUAAAGCGUCUGUAGGUGUCCCGUAAAGUCUGGUGUGAAAGCGCGAAGCUCAACUUCGCUGUACGUACUGGAAACUUACGGGAUUGAGCAACUCAGAGGCAUCUGGAAUGCCGUGUGUAGGGGUAAAAUCCGUUGAUCCACGGUAGAACGCUAAAAGCGAAAGCAGGAUGCUGGGGGUUCGCUGACACUGAGAGACGAAAGCGUGGGGAGCAAACGGG
rnacentral:rRNA from 1 species